GAUGAACGCUAGCUACAGGCUUAACACAUGCAAGUCGAGGGGAAACGGCAUUAAGUGCUUGCACUUUUUGGACGUCGACCGGCGCACGGGUGAGUAACGCGUAUCCAACCUUCCCAUGACUAAGGGAUAACCUGCCGAAAGGCAGACUAAUACCUUAUGGUCUUCACUGACGGCAUCAGAUGUGAAGUAAAGAUUUAUCGGUUAUGGAUGGGGAUGCGUCUGAUUAGCUUGUUGGCGGGGUAACGGCCCACCAAGGCAACGAUCAGUAGGGGUUCUGAGAGGAGGGUCCCCCACAUGGGAACGGGGACACGGUCCAAACUCCUACGGGAGGCAGCAGUGAGGAAGAUAGGUCAAUGGGCGAGAGCCUGAACCAGCCAAGUAGCGUGCAGGAUGACGGCCCUAUGGGUUGUAAACUGCUUUUGGAUGGGGAUAAAGUCAAUCACGUGUGAUUGUUUGCAGGUACCAUACGAAUAAGGACCGGCUAAUUCCGUG
rnacentral:rRNA from 1 species